ACGUAGGGCGCAAGCGUUAUCCGGAAUUAUUGGGCGUAAAGAGCUCGUAGGCGGUUUGUCGCGUCUGCCGUGAAAGUCCGGGGCUCAACUCCGGAUCUGCGGUGGGUACGGGCAGACUAGAGUGAUGUAGGGGAGACUGGAAUUCCUGGUGUAGCGGUGAAAUGCGCAGAUAUCAGGAGGAACACCGAUGGCGAAGGCGGCGCUCUGGGCCGGAACUGACGCUGAGGAGCGAAAGCGUGGGUAGCGAACAGGA
rnacentral:rRNA from 1 species